rnacentral:rRNA from 1 species
UACGGGGGGGGCAAGCGUUGUUCGGAAUUACUGGGCGUAAAGGGCGCGUAGGCGGCCUUCUAAGUCGGACGUGAAAUCCCUCGGCUUAACCGAGGAACUGCGUCCGAUACUGAAAGGCUUGAAUCCGGGAGAGGGAUGUGGAAUUCCAGGUGUAGCGGUGAAAUGCGCAGAUAUCAGGAGGAACACCUAUUGCGAAGGCAGCUCGCUGGGACGUAACUGACGCUGAGACGCGAAAGCGUGGGGAGCAAACAGG